UAGGGAAUCUUCGGCAAUGGGGGCAACCCUGACCGAGCAACGCCGCGUGAGUGAAGAAGGUUUUCGGAUCGUAAAGCUCUGUUGUUAAAGAAGAACACGUAUGAGAGUAACUGUUCAUACGUUGACGGUAUUUAACCAGAAAGUCACGGCUAACUACGUGCUAG
rnacentral:rRNA from 1 species